CAGAGAAUAGUUUAGUUUAAAAUACCAGCUUUGGGAGUUGGAGAUGGAGGUUUAAGUCCUCUUUUUCUGA
rnacentral:tRNA from 2 species